rnacentral:piRNA from 1 species
UGACCUGAACACCGCGCUGCCUGUACGGCAGA